GCCCUGCCGUCUUCAGCGAAGGCAAACUGCCUCUCCACAUUCGCCGUGCGUCUGACGUGCUGAAAAUAACUUUUCCGACACGCCGAAUAAACAGCAGCUGUCAUUCCUCGUCCGAGCUAUAAAUAAAAGGGGUCGUUUAUCUGCCAUGCGUCGGAAUAACACGGCCGCGAGCUCACAAACGAGUGGGAGACGUGAGGAAUAACGGAGAGGGGCCUGAAAAAUGGACAUGAUGAGAAGGACAGCAGGGGGCUGCUGGUUUUAUGAUGACAACUCUCUCUGUCUCUCUCCAUCUCUCUCUAGCACCAUGGAUGGGACUGUAUGCUGCAGGAGCUCCUGUUUCACAGAUCCUGUAUUGUGUCAAAAGCUUGGGGACACCUACAAUCAUGUGAAAACUCUGUCCUGUGCUUCACACAGCUGAUACCACUGCCUCACCCUGCUGUCUCAGCUCCUCCUCAAAUAUCACAGAGAUGGAACCUUAGACGAAAAGAUUUGAAGACCCAGUGAGCAAUCAGCACAACUGCCCAGUCAGUUCUCAGUAAUGCCAUGACAAUCGUUGUUAGGAUUAACACUCUCACUCAGCUUUAUUAGGAACUCCUACCAUGUACAUUCCCCACAAGGGUUACUUUUUGAGCUCUGUCUACCUUAUAGGUCCACUAUAUGAGUAUACAAUUGCAGACUGCAGCCCAUCUGUUGCCACGCACAGUUUAUCAUUCACCCUCCACCCCUUUCAUCAUUAUUUAUAUGGUGGGCUGUUUUUGAAAAACUGCUGUUUUGGUCUUUGACAUGGUAGUGACACUGUGGUGUUGCUGGAGUUUUUACAGAUGUCAAUAUCACUGCUAGGUUGAGAGUUCUUCACCACCCACAAAUAUCCAGCAAAGAGUGGCUCAGCGGUCAGAAACUGAUAACUGAUAGAAAGCUAGAGGACGGCAUGUAUGUGACAGCAGAGGGGAUACAGUUGCUACUUGUACACCAGCAACAUGAACUUUCUACAAGUCCUAUAAGGUAUUGGUCUCUAAUAAA